AGCAGCUGUGAGAAACUGCAGAAGAGCUCUAUGACCUUAGUGAGCUGUGACUCUAUUGUGGGGAAAAUAAUAUAGAAGUGGGAGACCAAGGAAAGAAAGGGGAAAAGCACCGAAAACCACCACCUUGUUCUUGGAUUCAGUGUGACACGUGUGACCCUGACCCCACAAAGCCGUACAACAGUGCAGCAUGUUAAUCCCAUACUCUGUCUUAAGUUAAUAGUUCAAGUUUUGUUAAAUUAAAUGUUAUCUUGAAUUGAACCUUUUUUUUUUAAAAUAUACACAAAUAAGUAAAUAAAAA